AAUGCGCAGCUACAGCUGGUUGAAGGGGACCAAAUCCAUCCAACAGCUGAUUUGGUUCCAUUUUACCAGCUUCAGCAAAGCAUUCUG
rnacentral:pre_miRNA from 17 species